rnacentral:misc_RNA from 1 species
GCAAACUUGGUCAUUUAGAGGAAGUAAAAGUCGUAACAAGGUCAUCGUAGGUGAACCUGCGGUGGGAUCAUCACCAAAAUAAAUACAACAAGGGUGUGAAAAAAGAUUAUUAGGAGAAGCAAUUCUCCUUUUUCUGGGGGAGCAAUCCCCCAGAUGAAACGGUUUUUCUAUAUAAAAAAUACGAGAUAUACUAGGCAUAAGCCUGAAAAUAUACAAAACUAUUAAUGGUGGAUCACUUGGCUCUUGCAUCGAUGAAGAACGCAGC